GACGAACGCUGGCGGCGUGCUUAACACAUGCAAGUCGAACGAUGAAGCUGGAGCUUGCUCCGGUGGAUUAGUGGCGAACGGGUGAGUAACACGUGAGCAAUCUGCCCUUGACUCUGGGAUAACUGCGGGAAACUGUAGCUAAUACCGGAUACUUUCACUGGAAGGCAUCUUCUGGUGAAGAAAGAAUUUCGGUCAAGGAUGAGCUCGCGGCCUAUCAGCUUGUUGGUGAGGUAACGGCUCACCAAGGCGACGACGGGUAGCCGGCCUGAGAGGGUGACCGGCCACCCUGGGACUGAGACCCGGCCCAGACUCCUACGGGAGACAGCAGUGGGGAAUAUUGCACAAUGGGCGCAAGCCUGAUGCAGCAACGCCGCGUGGGGGAUGAAGGCCUUCGGGUUGUAAACCUCUUUUAGCAGGGAAGAAGCGAAAGUGCCGGUACCUGCAGAAAAAGCACCGGCUAACUACGUGCCAGCCGCCGCCGUAA
rnacentral:rRNA from 1 species